GUAAGAAUCACGCUCAUGUUUGUGUGAUGUUUAUAUGUAGAUACAGCCGUGUGGUUGGUGAUGCGCAGAGAACCUGCUGAUUUGGGAAGUCAACGCAUGGCAAUGAGCUUGUCUCCACAGUAGAUCAUGUUGACCUACCUGAUCCUUUUGAACGACUGCAAGAAAUUGUUGGGAUGAUUUCUGAGCCAGUUCAGCCCUGUUCAUCUGAGUGGAAUGUAAGGCAGUCUUCCACCAAAGAAAGAUGGUAGGCUGCCAGACCACAGUUGAUCAACAGUGCGUACGCUGCUGAAGACGUAUUAUCAUCCCAUUUCUCCAACAAUCAGGAUUGAGAGGGGCAGUGAUGGAAACUAUAAAAUUACUGAGAGAGGUAAAUAUGCGCCAGCAGGGGCUACAGCUCUAAACAAGUAUUUUUGAAAUUAAGUUUGUGACACCAUUGACAGACUGGAAACUUUAUUCAAGAAAACAUAGGCAUGUUUGUCAUAUGAUCGUGACCAGUGUUGGCUUUCUCAAUUAUGAAGAACAGUGCCUUGAAUUUUUUUUGUAGUUGAGCUGUGUGUUUGCAUAUUUGGUAUAUUUAUAUAUUUGGAAGCAAUUACUAGUUGUGCAAAUAUAUUAUGCAUUCUUAUUCUAUAAGGCCCGAUAAACCUGCUAAUAUGCAUGUGAUCCAACAGCUUGUCUCCUCUCAGUUGUUUUACCAGGGUCAAUCUGCUCAUGUGGAUCAGAUUUGCUCCAAGUGACCCCUGGAAGAUAUGUAAUUCUGAUAAUAAUGAAUGGUAUGUGUGUUGAAUGUGGUAAAUGCUCCUCAUCUAAUGCAGUUGCAUUUCAUUCCUAUAGUAUUCCAGAGGUACCCUCAUUACAUUGCAUUUCAGAACAUUAUGAAGCAAGAAUUAUAUUGUCUUUUUUUUUUAGGCUGUUGUUCCCUCCCUUAGCUGUUCACGUUCUGGUGCCUGCGUUGUGAUCCUUGGUGUCAAGGAUCUGUUGAAGAGUGGUCUGUGGCCAGCAUCCAUGCAGUAUCAAACUGCGUACUCCAGA